UACGUAGGGAGCAAGCGUUGUCCGGAAUCAUUGGGCGUAAAGCGCGCGUAGGUGGCCCAGUAAGUCCGUUCUGAAAGUCACAGGCUCAACCUGUGAAAGCGGAUGGAUACUGCUGGGCUAGAGUCCGGAAGAGGCGAGUGGAAUUCCUGGUGUAGCGGUGGAAUGCGCAGAUAUCAGGAGGAACACCCGUAGCGAAGGCGGCACUCUGGGCCGAUACUGACGCUGAGGAGCGAAAGCGUGGGGAGCGAACAGG
rnacentral:rRNA from 1 species